CUCAAGAGAUCUUGGUACUACAGUAAAUUAGUUAAAGGGCAAUUAAGUGAAAAGUUCUGGUAUUACGUUUUAUAACCUCAUUAGCAUGAAAGUUGAUGUGUGUUUUAUGAAGGUCUGAGGUUAACUAAUUUUCAAUACAAAAUAUAGAUCAGUGUGUUUCAGUAAAAAGUUUUUUAUUUUGCUAAAGUGUUCUACAUAGUUCCAC